rnacentral:rRNA from 1 species
UGGGGAAUCUUGGACAAUGGGGGCAACCCUGAUCCAGCCAUGCCGCGUGAGUGAUGAAGGCCUUAGGGUCGUAAAGCUCUUUCGCCUGUGAAGAUAAUGACGGUAGCAGGUAAAGAAACCCCGGCUAACUCCGUGCCAGCAGCCGCGGUAAUACGGAGGGGGUUAGCGUUGUUCGGAAUUACUGGGCGUAAAGAGUUCGUAGGCGGACUAGCAAGUUAGAGGUGAAAUCCCAGGGCUCAACCUUGGAACUGCCUUUAAAACUAUUGGUCUAGAGUUCGAGAGAGGUGAGUGGAAUUCCAAGUGUAGAGGUGAAAUUCGUAGAUAUUUGGAGGAACACCAGUGGCGAAGGCGGCUCACUGGCUCGAUACUGACGCUGAGGUGCGAAAGUGUGGGGAGCAAACAGGAUUAGAUACCCUGGUAGUCCACACCGUAAACGAUGAAUGCCAGUCGUCGGGUAGCAUGCUAUUCGGUGACACACCUAACGGAUUAAGCAUUCCGCCUGGGGAGUACGGUCGC